GACGGGGGAUGCAAGCGUUAUCCGGAAUCACUGGGCGUAAAGCGUCUUUAGGUGGUGAUGCAAGUCACUGGUGCAAAACUCUGGCUCAACCGGAGGAAAGCCAGUGAAACUGCAUGACUAGAGUGUGGGAGAGGUAGGAGGAAUUCCCUGAGUAGCGGUGAAAUGCGUAGAUACAGGGAAGAACACCGGAGGCGAAAGCGUUCUACUGGAACACAACUGACACUGAGCGACGAAAGCUAGGGGAGCGAAUGGG
rnacentral:rRNA from 1 species